GAGUUUGAUUAUGGCUCAGAACGAACGCUGGCGGUGCGUUUUAAGCAUGCAAGUCGAACGGUAAAAAGAGAGCUUGCUCUCUUUGAGAGUGGCGGACUGGUGAGUAACGCGUGGAUGAUCUACCUUUGAGAUGGGGAUAGCUUCUAGAAAUAGGAGAUAAUACCGAAUAACCUUGUUGUGUUUUGAUGUAACAAGAAAAGGGGCGUCAGCUCCGCUCGAAGAUGAGUCUGCGUCCCAUUAGCUAGUUGGUAGGGUAAAGGCUUACCAAGGCGACGAUGGGUAUCCGGCCUGAGAGGGUGAACGGACACAUUGGGACUGAGAUACGGCCCAAACUCCUACGGGAGGCAGCAGCUGAGAAUCUUCCGCAAUGGACGAAAGUCUGACGGAGUGACACCGCGUGAACGAUGAAGGCCGGAAGGUUGUAAAGUUCUUUUGCAGACAAAGAAUAAGGAUAGAAGGAAAUGA
rnacentral:rRNA from 1 species